UACGGAGGAGGCAAGCGAUAUCCGGAAUUAUUGGGCGUAAAGCGUCCGUAGGUGGUUCACCAAGUCUGCUGUCAAAGGGUGGGGCUUAACCUCAUAAAGGCAGUGGAAACUGGUGAGCUAGAGUGCGGUAGGGGUAAGGGGAAUUCCCAGUGUAGCGGUGAAAUGCGUAGAGAUUGGGAAGAACAUCGGUGGCGAAAGCGCCUUACUGGGCCUGCACUGACACUGAGGGACGAAAGCUAGGGGAGCGAAUGGG
rnacentral:rRNA from 1 species